UUAAAAUUUGAAUAUAUUUUACCUUUGUAUGAAAAAGUAGUAAACUAAUACUCCUUUGACGAACUAGGUGGGCUGUAGUUAUGCCUCCCAAAUAUCAAUCAAUUUAGAUGUUAGAACUUGGAAGAUAGUGAAUAGUGAUGAUCGAAAUAAAAUACCCUCAUCAUAAAUAUCUCUGCCGCGUUUUCAUAAAUCAACCAAUCUUUAUUAGCUGAUUCAAUAUCAAAUAAGUAAUACUCCAUCAAGAAUAAAAAAAUGAAGAAAAAGACAUGUAGCUAAAGAGGACCAACUUGAACCCCAUAGGCACACUGAAGAAACACGUACAAGUUUAAUUCUUCGAAAGUGAGAGCUCCAAUCAACAAUGAAUAAUUGAAAUUUAUGUACGUGUCCACGCCUCAAAAUCCUAUCACUCCUCUUCCCUAAGUCACAAAAAAAAAAAA
rnacentral:lncRNA from 1 species